UCAUCAAUAAUGAAACCUUCUAAUGUCUUGGUGAGAAAUAAUGACUUAAAAUUACACUCAGUAGGAUUAUGCUGAGGUUC
ensembl:snoRNA SNORD115 Small nucleolar RNA SNORD115